UUCCAGUAUGUUUUGUUUUUCAUUGUAUAGUUUAGAUUUCUGUAUGUGUUUAGUUUGUAAAAGGGCUUCAUAACUUUAUUGCAAACUUUUGUAUUUCAGUUUAGACAGUCAAGGUUGUGGUAGUGCGAGUAAUUAAUCAUCAAGGAUUUGAACAUAUCCAAAAGAUUAGGCAGUAGCCAAUUAUAGGCUUCAGUAGCAAAUGUAUAUUUACUUGAUUGAAACUCUAGAUAUUGUAUACAGGUCAUGAACAUACUUGCAGGUGUCCAGGUUUUAUUUGCUAUGUGAUUCUAUGCAACUGGUUUUUAGGUAAACUAUUGAAAGAUUUGGUAUGAGCAUUAUAUUUUUCUAUCUCCAUUUCCUCCUUGUUUUUUUCAUGCUAAAGAGAGAUUUACCUGGAGAGUAAAGAACAAAAUAAUGCUUUUUGUUCUCAUUAUAGAAAUACAGAUGUUAAUAUAUCUUUUAGUUUUGUGAAACUGAAAAGAAAAAUCCUUUUUUCAUAGAAAAUUGGCAGUUAUGUUGUGCUUUACCAACAGUAGUAGAGUAGCAGCAACUAUUGCAAUUAGAUUUCUCCACAGUUCAGACAGGGAUAGUUCCAUUGUUAUAAGAAAUACAGAUUAUAGCUUUAGAAGAUGGAUGAAAGCAUUUUACUUGGGGACAGACUGUUCAUAUUUUGUCCAUAUUUGUAGGAAAUCCUCAUUUCAUUAUUGACAAUUGUAGUUUGAAGAGCCAGGUAAUCACACUGUCUAAUAUUGUUUUCUUUUGUGAAUUUUGCUUGCACAUAGAUGACUCCAGAAGUGUUCAGCCACCAAGAAACCAGUUAGUAAACCUACAUGUCCUCAGCUGAUUUCCCUUUCCUCAAUUUUUUUCCAUAAAAAAAAAUAUUGAUGGUAUUAUUGUUGUUGACAAUAUGAUUAUUACAAUGUCAUUAACACGACUAAUAACAAUAAAAUAUGAAAAAAAGAAUCUAAAAAAAUCAAGGAAACAAUUAACAGGUGACCUAAGUACAUGUGGAUCAUCUGUGUGUAAAGACAGUCAAUUGAUAAAAAGACACAUUAGACAUGUCAUGUAUUCAUCCCAUCCUGUCAACAAUGGGUUAAUUUCAUACUGCAGAAAUUUACAUUAGUUUAUUGUAAGGAAAGACACUGGUCAAAAAUAUACUACCUUUAACCUAUGUGUAAACAAAAUUCACAGAACAAGUACAGUGGAUAGUGGGAUGUCCUGGCAUCAAUAUGUUAAGGGGUAGAAUAGAUAAUAUGGCAGUUUACAAAAAUUAAGUUAUAUAUAAUAAUAAUCAUAAACAAAUUUAAACAAAGAUCCCCCCACCCCUAAGAAUUGCCAACCUUCAAUUUUUGGUUAUAGGCACUUAUGGAUCUAGAUUUUACAGACAAGUAAAUGAUUAUCUCAUUGUCAUGUCUCAAAUACAAUGAGUUAUCACAGUUACCUAUCACAUAAGAAUGAAUAUGAGGAGAGAUGACUAUAAAUAUUUAAGUAAGAUGCAUAAAAUCAUAUUUUUGGUUUUAAAAAAUAUGUUGACAUUAUAAGUAUUUAGAUGCAUAAAUAGUAAAAGGACAGGAUGUAGUAUGAUGUAACUCUUACAAUUACAACUUUACACUCGCUACAUUCCAUUCACAAGAAGAAAGAUGGGUGUACAUGACUGUGUGAUUGACUUAGAGAGAGGAGAUUCUGUAAGGUGAGUAAGGGUAUGGGGGUGAUAUUAUUAGUUUAGCUGAAGGAAACUAGGUAAACAGCACUAAAAAUAUUAGUAGACAAAAA